UACGUAGGGUGCGAGCGUUAAUCGGAAUUACUGGGCGUAAAGCGUGCGCAGGCGGUUUUGUAAGCCAGAUGUGAAAGCCCCCGGGCUUAACCCUGGGAAUGGCAUUUGGGACUGCAAGGCUUGAGUGCGGCAGAGGAGACUGGAAUUCCUGGUGUAGCAGUGAAAUGCGUAGAUAUCAGGAGGAAUACCGAUGGCGAAGGCAGGUCUCUGGGCUGGACACUGACGCUCGAU
rnacentral:rRNA from 1 species